rnacentral:rRNA from 1 species
UUGGAGGGCAAGUCUGGUGCCAGCAGCCGCGGUAAUCCCAGCUCCAAUAGCGUAUAUUAAAGUUGUUGCAGUUAAAAAGCUCGUAGUUGAAUUUCGGGAUUGACGUAAUGGUCGUGCCUUAAGGGGUAUGAACUGUUGCUGUUGAUUUCUCACCUUCUGGAGAAACUUGAUGUCCUUAAUUGGGUGUCUUGCGGAUCCAGGACCUUUACCUUGAAAAAAUUAGAGUGUUUAAAGCAGGCAUUUUUGCUCGAAUACAUUAGCAUGGAAUAAUAGAAUAGGACGGCAUGGUUCUAUUUUGUUGGUUUCUAGGAUCACCGUAAUGAUUAAUAGGGAUAGUUGGGGGCAUUAGUAUUCAAUUGUCAGAGGUGAAAUUCUUGGAUUUAUUGAAGACUAACUACUGCGAAAGCAUUUGCCAAGGAUGUUUUCAUUAAUCAAGAACGAAAGUUAGGGGAUCGAAGACGAUCAGAUACCGUCGUAGUCUUAACCAUAAACUAUGCCGACUAGGAAUCAGACGAUGUUAAUUUUUUAAUGACUCGUUUGGCACCUUACGGGAAACCAAAGUGUUUGGGUUC